UACGGGGGGGGCAAGCGUUGUUCGGAAUUACUGGGCGUAAAGGGCGUGUAGGCGGCCAACUAAGUCCGACGUGAAAUCCCCAGGCUUAACCUGGGAACUGCGUCGGAUACUGGAUGGCUUGAAUCCGGGAGAGGGAUGCAGAAUUCCAGGUGUAGCGGUGAAAUGCGUAGAUAUCUGGAGGAAUACCGGUGGCGAAGGCGGCAUCCUGGACCGGCAUUGACGCUGAAGCGCGAAAGCUAGGGGAGCAAACGGGG
rnacentral:rRNA from 1 species